rnacentral:rRNA from 1 species
GGGAGGCAGCAGGUGGGAAUAUUGCACAAUGGGCGCAAGCCUGAUGCAGCGACGCCGCGUGAGGGAUGACGGCCUUCGGGUUGUAAACCUCUUUCAGUAGGGAAGAAGCGAAAGUGACGGUACCUGCAGAAGAAGCACCGGCUAACUACGUGCCAGCAGCCGCGGUAAUACGUAGGGUGCAAGCGUUGUCCGGAAUUAUUGGGCGUAAAGAGCUUGUAGGCGGUUUGUCGCGUCUGCUGUGAAAACCCGAGGCUCAACCUCGGGCCUGCAGUGGGUACGGGCAGACUAGAGUGCAGUAGGGGAGACUGGAAUUCCUGGUGUAGCGGUGGAAUGCGCAGAUAUCAGGAGGAACACCGAUGGCGAAGGCAGGUCUCUGGGCUGUAACUGACGCUGAGGAGCGAAAGCAUGGGGAGCGAACAGGAUUAGAUACCCUGGUAGUCCAUGCCGUAAACGUUGGGCACUAGGUGUGGGGACCAUUCCACGGUUUCCGCGCCGCAGCUAACGCAUUAAGUGCCCCGCCUGGGGAGUACGGCCGCAAGGUUAAAACUCAA